AGAGCAGGCUAAACGAUCGCUCGCGUCUUGGCGGACGCGGGAGGAAAGUCCGAGCUCCAAAGGGCAGGGUGCUCCGUAACACGGAGUCGCGGUGACGCGAAGGAAAGUGCCACAGAAAAGAUACCGCCCUG
rnacentral:RNase_P_RNA from 1 species